UGAGGAAUAUUGGACAAUGGGCGCAAGCCUGAUCCAGCCAUGCCGCGUGCAGGAGGAAGCAUCUAUGGUGUGUAAACUGCUUUUGUACGGGAAGAAACGCUCCUACGUGUAGGAGCUUGACGGUACCGUAAGAAUAAGGAUCGGCUAACUCCGUGCCAGCAGCCGCGGUAAUACGGAGGAUCCAAGCGUUAUCCGGAAUCAUUGGGUUUAAAGGGUCCGUAGGCGGUUUAAUAAGUCAGUGGUGAAAGCCCAUCGCUCAACGAUGGAACGGCCAUUGAUACUGCUAGACUUGAAUUAUUAGGAAGUAACUAGAAUAUGUAGUGUAGCGGUGAAAUGCUUAGAUAUUACAUGGAAGACCAAUUGCGAAGGCAGGUUACUACUAAUGGAUUGACGCUGAUAGACGAAAGCGUGGGGAGCGAACA
rnacentral:rRNA from 1 species